AACGCACGAGACCUGCGGACCUGCGGAAGGAUCAUUACCGAGUUUACAAAACUCCCAAACCCUUUGUGAACCUUACCUAUCGUUGCUUCGGCGGGACCGCCCCGGCGCCCUCGCGGCCCGGAACCAGGCGCCCGCCGGAGGCCCCAAACCCUCAUGUCUUUAGUGGUUUCCUCCUCUGAGUGACAUAAACAAAUAAAGUAAAAACUUUCAACAACGGAUCUCUAGAUCGGAAGAGCACAC
rnacentral:misc_RNA from 1 species